rnacentral:rRNA from 1 species
CGCUGGUCUGAGAGGACGAUCAGCCACAUUGGGACUGAGACACGGCCAAACUCCUACGGGAGGCAGCGGUGGGGAAUCUUGCGCAAUGGGCGAAAGCCUUGACGCAGCCAUGCCGCGUGAAUGAUGAAGGUCUUAGGAUUCGUAAAGUUCUUUCGCCUGUGACGAUGAUGACGGUAACAGGAGAAGAAGCCCCGGUAACUUCGUGCCAGCAGCCGCGGUAAUACGAAGGGGGCUAGCGUUGUUCGGAAUUACUGGGCGUAAAAGCGCGCGUAGGCGGUUUGAAGCCAGAGGUGAAAUGCUGAGCUCAAUUAGGAAUUGCUUUGGGACUGCAGGUUCGAGGACUGACGAAGGUGCAGUGGAAUUCCCCAGUGUCACAGGGUGAAAAUUCCGCACAUAUUCGGGGAAGAACACCCAUUGGGCGAACGGCGGGUCAUUGGGCCAGUUUCUGGACGCUAAAGUGGCGAACACGCCGUGGGGGGGCUCAAACCCGGGUUAAGAAUACCCCUGGGGUAGCCCAAACCGCUUGGAACCCAANUAAGAGUCNGGAAAGGGGCUCGGAGACNCGCGUUGGCGAUGGUCGGCGCCCNAGCAGUAAACGCG